UUUUGAAGAAAACUUAAAAAUUUAAAAAAAUGUAUCUACACAAAUUCAAAUGGAACUAACCUCAAAAUCUCUGAGCUUUUAUAUAACUAUCACCUAUAUAAUUUUUGGAAUUGCAUUUUUACUUAUUGUGGAAGCGUUUUUUGGUCUAAGGGCCACAAAUAAGAAGUUGAAUAGCCUCAGAAGUCAUUGCCUGCAGCAUGCUGCUGAAAAUCCAAUCCAAACCAACAAUUCAUUUCGAAUUUUUCCACUGACAUAAAAAUGGACACAAUUUUUCUGGUCAUAAUUCUAGUCAUGAAAUUCAUUGUGAUUUGUCUUAUCAGCUUUGGUAUUUACAAUUGGUAUUGUCGCAGUAAUGAGAACCGAAAUCGGCAGGAAAUUAUUAGAGCUUAAUUUUGGAGCAAAUUUCAAAUUCACGUUUAGAGCUCUGGAAAUAUUUGGAAAAUUUUUAUGAAAAAAAAAAACAAAUUUUAAACACCGAACGUCCUUGAGAGAAAGUUAUUAAAAAAUCUAAAUUUUUAACUCUGAAA